AACGAACGCUGGCGGCAGGCUUAACACAUGCAAGUCGAGCGCCCCGCAAGGGGAGCGGCAGACGGGUGAGUAACGCGUGGGAAUCUACCCAUCACUACGGAACAACUCCGGGAAACUGGAGCUAAUACCGUAUACGUCCUUCGGGAGAAAGAUUUAUCGGUGAUGGAUGAGCCCGCGUUGGAUUAGGUAGUUGGUGGGGUAAUGGCCUACCAAGGCGACGAUCCAUAGCUGGUCUGAGAGGAUGAUCAGCCACACUGGGACUGAGGCACGGCCAAGACUCCUACGGGAGGCAGCAGUGGGGAAUAUUGGACAAUGGGCGAAAGCCUGAUCCAGCCAUGCCGCGUGAGUGAUGAAGGCCCUAGGGUUGUAAAGCUCUUUCGCAGGUGAAGAUAAUGACGGUAACCUGAGAAGAAGCCCCGGCUAACUUCGUGCCAGCCGCCGCAGUAACAC
rnacentral:rRNA from 1 species